CAGAUGUGCAUCCUUCCUGAAAGUCCAAAAGCUCUACUUCUCUGUACCAGCACUUUUCUGACGCACACACAGCCUUCCAGGAGGAACUAAAAGGCUUGGAGGUGGGAGGGCUGGCCGCUAACAUUGACUGUCCCAGGUGUUACCAGGAGAGCACAAAACAUGGAGGUGGACGGGUCAUGAAUAAAAGUGUGGGCGUGCAGCAGAAGGUGGAAAACAACAGUGUAAUGAGAGUGGGCCACUGUAGACAUGAGGUCACUGGUGCAGAGCCUGAUUUAUACUGUUUUUUGGGCAGAUGCCAAGAAUAAGCUCACUUCUGGAACAUGCCAGGGAGUGUCCGUUGGAGACAUGUGUGGACCAGGACAACAGGUGC